GAUGAACGCUGGCGGCGUGCCUAAUACAUGCAAGUCGAGCGAACGGACGAGAAGCUUGCUUCUCUGAUGUUAGCGGCGGACGGGUGAGUAACACGUGGAUAACCUACCUAUAAGACUGGAAUAACUUGGGGAAACCGGAGCUAAUACCGGCUAAUAUUUUAAACCGCAUGGUUCAAAAGUGAAAGACGGUCUUGCUGUCACUUAUAGAUGGAUCCGCGCUGCAUUAGCUAGUUGGUAAGGUAACGGCUUACCAAGGCAACGAUGCAUAGCCGACCUGAGAGGGUGAUCGGUCACACUGGAACUGAGACACGGUCCAGACUCCUACGGGAGGCAGCAGUAGGGAAUCUUCCGCAAUGGGCGAAAGCCUGACGGAGCAACGCCGCGUGAGUGAUGAAGGUCUUCGGAUCGUAAAGCUCUGUUAUUAGGGAAGAACAUAUGUGUAAGUAACUGUGCACAGCUUGACGGUACCUAAUCAGAAAGCCACGGCUAACUACGUG
rnacentral:rRNA from 1 species